CGCGCUCCCCUCUUUCUCCCCUUGCCGAACCCGACGCCGUGCCCUAACCUCCUCGCGGCCGUUCCUUCUUCCUCACCCUCUGCCCCUCACGGCGACAGCAUCCUCUGCCCUAGCCGACGCCACCACCGGUCGAUUCCCUUCCUCGGCUUCCCUCCCUCUCGGCGUCGAACACCUCUUCAAUUGCUCUUUCCCGAGCCGCACUAGGCGCCGCCACCGCCUGAGGCGAACGGAGCAGCGCCGAUCCACCGUCGGCGUGCCUGUGCCCUAGCACCGACCACGACUUCUUCGGCCUGAGCGCCACUCGGGAGUCUCCUUCCAGAACAACGCCGGUGUGGCGUUGUCUUCCCUGUGCCCUAGCGCCGGCAACCAUCUUCCCUCUGCUCUAGUUCCGACUCACGGUCGCCGGUGCAAACCUUCAACCAAGGGCCGAGCCGUGCCCUAGAUCUGUCCUUGUGUACCACUGCCGACCGCCGGAUCGGGCUGUUCCAGCCUCUCCACGCCGAGCCCUAGUUUCCCGGCGCCACUCCGAUCGUCCUCUGCCCUAGCACUGGUCUGCCAGCCGUCCAGUGCCAGCCGCCAGCUUGUUAUUGACCUGAGUAUCUGGUAUUAAGGUUUCCAGCAGCAGCUUCGUCGGGUUCUUGGUCAUCGCAGGCGAUUAGAGGAAGAGGGCGUGUCUUGAUUUCCAAUAGCUACCUCUGUUCCGACAGCAAGUUGUCUUUGCUAUGGAUUUGUUGGGCUGUGGAUUAAGGACUGUGACGCGAGAUGAGCAACUCGACGUUGGAUUUGGAU